CAGCAGCCACGGUAAUACGUAGGUCCCGAGCGUUGUCCGGAUUUAUUGGGCGCAAAGCGAGCGCAGGCGGUUUGAUAAGUCUGAAGUUAAAGGCUGUGGCUCAACCAUAGUUCGCUUUGGAAACUGUCAAACUUGAGUGCAGAAGGGGAGAGUGGAAUUCCAUGUGUAGCGGUGAAAUGCGUAGAUAUAUGGAGGAACACCGGCGGCGAAAGCGGCUCUCUGGUCUGUAACUGACGCUGAGGCUCGAAAGCGUGGGGAGCGAACAGGAUUAGAUACCCCCGUAGUCCCUGUCUCUUAUACA
rnacentral:rRNA from 1 species